rnacentral:rRNA from 1 species
GACGAACGCUGGCGGCGUGCUUAACACAUGCAAGUCGAACGAAGAGCGAUGGAAGCUUGCUUCUAUCAAUCUUAGUGGCGCACGGGUGAGUAACGCGUAAUCAACCUGCCCUUCAGAGGGGGACAACAGUUGGAAACGACUGCUAAUACCGCAUACGAUCUAAUCUCGGCAUCGAGGAAAGAUGAAAGGUGGCCUCUAUUUAUAAGCUAUCACUGAAGGAGGGGAUUGCGUCUGAUUAGCUAGUUGGGGGGGUAACGGCCCACCAAGGCGAGGAUCAGUAGCCGGUCUGAGAGGAUGAACGGCCACAUUGGGACUGAGACACGGCCCAGACUCCUACGGGAGGCAGCAGUGGGGAAUCUUCCGCAAUGGACGAAAGGCUGACGGAGCAACGCCGCGUGAGGGAUGACGGCCUUCGGGUUGUAAAGCUCUGUUAAUCGGGACGAAAGGCCUUCUUGCGAACAGUUAGAAGGAUUGACGGUACCGGAAUAGAAAGCCACGGCUAACUACGUG